GCAGUGAUGGAGACUGCAGCUCGACCCCAGCGAUGGAGGCUGGAGGCCUCAAGUUAUAAGCAACACUUUGGCAUAUUUGGUGAACUUCAAAGAAAAUGGCUAAGAUAGAGGAUGAGAGACAUAAGAGGCUUCAGGAAUAUUUCAGCAGAUGCAAAGCAGACUACAGGGAUGAAGCCAUCCUAGAGCGAGGUGGCCUCUUGAUCCAAUGUGCCUGGUGUCCUUAUAAGAUGAUGGUAGUAAGGAGAUUGGAAGACACAGAGAGAAUGCCGUGUGACGACGAAGGCAGAGAUUGAAUUUACACAGCUGCAAGAU
rnacentral:lncRNA from 1 species